rnacentral:rRNA from 1 species
UUAUACGACCGUACCGCAAACCGACACUGGUGCGCGAGAUGAGUAUUCUAAGGCGCUUGAGAGAACUCAGGAGAAGGAACUCGGCAAAUUGACACCGUAACUUCGGAAGAAGGUGUGCCCUAUUAGUGUGUAGUGAACAACGAAGCAUGAAUGGGUUGCAAAAAAUCGGUGGCUGCGACUGUUUAUUAAAAACACAGCACUCUGCAAACACGAAAGUGGACGUAUAGGGUGUGACGCCUGCCCGGUGCUGGAAGAUUAAAUGAUGGGGUGCAAGCUCUUGAUUGAAGUCCCAGUAAACGGCGGCCGUAACGAUAACGGUCCUAAGGUAGCGAAAUUCCUUGUCGGGUAAGUUCCGACCUGCACGAAUGGCGUAACGAUGGCCACACUGUCUCCUCCUGAGACUCAGCGAAGUUGAAAUGUUUGUGAUGAUGCAAUCUCCCCGCGGAAAGACGGAAAGACCCCAUGAACCUUUACUGUAGCUUUGUAUUGGACUUUGAACAGAUCUGUGUAGGAUAGGUGGGAGGCUUUGAAGCAGGGUCGCUAGAUCUUGUGGAGCCAACGUUGAAAUACCACCCUGGUGUGUUUGAGGUUCUAACCUAGGUCCAUUAUCUGGAUCGGGGACAGUGCAUGGUAGGCAGUUUGACUGGGGCGGUCUCCUCCCAAAGCGUAACGGAGGAGUUCGAAGGUACGCUAGUUACGGUCGGACAUCGUGACGAUAGUGCAAUGGCAUAAGCGUGCUUAACUGCGAGACUGACAAGUCGAGCAGAUGCGAAAGCAGGACAUAGUGAUCCGGUGGUUCUGUAUGGAAGGGCCAUCGCUCAACGGAUAAAAGGUACUCUGGGGAUAACAGGCUGAUACCGCCCAAGAGUUCAUAUCGACGGCGGUGUUUGGCACCUCGAUGUCGGCUCAUCUCAUCCUGGGGCUGUAGCCGGUCCCAAGGGUAUGGCUGUUCGCCAUUUAAAGAGGUACGUGAGCUGGGUUUAAAACGUCGUGAGACAGUUUGGUCCCUAUCUUCCGUGGGCGCUGCAGAUUUGAGGAAGCCUGCUCCUAGUACGAGAGGACCGGAGUGGACACACCUCUGGUGUAUCGGUUGUCACGCCAGUGGCAUUGCCGAGUAGCUAAGUGUGGAAGAGAUAACCGCUGAAAGCAUCUAAGCGGGAAACUCGUUUCAAGAUGAGAUCUGCCGGGGCCUUGAGCCCCCUAAAGAGUCGUUCAAGACCAGGACGUUGAUAGGUCAGGUGUGGAAGCUAA